CGCGUUCUUUUUGGGAGUUUUCGUGGAAGGCAAGAAGAAUUCAGUGAGGAAUGUAUGGAGGAAUGGCUUGCAAAGCUGUCCAAGCUGAAAGAUGUGGAAUCACCUAAAGUACUCUCAGUUCCAUGGCGAAUAUUUUUUUUAAAGCGACGUGAUUCAAAUGAAUCAAUGAAGAAAUAGCAGAACUUUUGUACUAGAUCUAUGGAAAAAAAGGAGUCAUGUAAGCCUAAGAAAAAUGGAGCUGGCUGUUUCAAGCGCAUCCAGGAAAUAUAAAGGAGUGUUGUGCUUAGCUUGAAGCGCUGGUGAUAAAAGAAGCUGCAUCACAUUUUGCUGUGAUUGCUACUCCAGAAAGAUUCCCAACUGCCAUGUGAUGUUUACAAGAGCAGCGUGAGAUUGACUGGCUGGAAAAUAAUUUAAAUUCAGUAGUGCUAAUGCUCAAUAAAUACAUUUUUUGCACUGUAGCAACUUUUAAUGCUGCCAGACACUGGAGUGAGAACUAUUGGGAACCGGGUCAAAAGCAAUUCCACCACUAUGCAGCAUUCUUAAUUAAGAUAGAAAAAGACUUCUCAGUGGGGCUGGCACUAAAGUUUCCAUGCCAGAUGAUCAGAUAAGUAUCUUUUUUUUUUUUUAAGUUAACCCCACUAUUGAAGCUUGGUUAUACCUCUCUCAGUAAACUGGGCUGAUCUUUCCUGUGAUAAAAUAAGAUCUCUAAUGUAUUCUUGGAGAAAAACUGGGAGAUACGCUCAAAUUAACUUAUGGCUGCCUCGGUUUUGUUUCAGGGACAUGAAAGUAGCAAAAUUUCAGUGUCCAAUUCUGAUCCACUUGUGCAACUGAUAAGCUAAGCAAGACUUGUUUUCCAUGACACAAUUCUCCGACCUUCAAAUUAAAAUGAUUGAGCAGGACAAUUACAGGAAGGAAGCUGUUCAACUGGACUUAAUUAAGAAAUCUCAUCUCAUUUUUUUGUAAAAGGUCUAUAUAAUUCCUUUAUAACACAUACUUACCCAAAAGGAAAUAUUAUUGUGUGUUCUAGCUGCUAAGAUUUGGAGCUCCCUGAAAGCUAUUCAUUUUUAUUUCUUGCUUACGUAAGUCCAAAUCCCCAGCUCUUUAAAAAGUUCUAAACACUGAAGUCUCAUGAAGAAUUAUUUUGUUUUCCUCGCUGCUCUCUAUGUCUGUUUGUUGUAUUAAUAAACGUACAUAGUUUUGAACUGCAAAAUGGUUGGUAAUAAUAAUAAUAAUUGAAAGACUCUUUCAACAUUUCAUUCAGUCCAAUAACACUGAAUGAGAUGUGUUCAAAAUAUUCUCACUGGCAGUAUGGAGAAUCCUGACAGCUGCUUAACCCAACUCUUUAUGACUGAUGUAAAUUGACAGCUGCAUAGCUCUGUCUUUGUAUAUAAGAAAAUAAUUAAGUGAGCACUAAAAUUCUUUUGGAGUACUGUCAUAGGGUCCUCGAAAGGUUAAAAUUAAAAUUCAGAGAAAGAUUUUGAUUUGUACAGGUCAGUGGGAAAAAACAAUCCCUAGAAUUUUAAGGUCGAUAUAUCCUUAAUGUAUGAAAAUAAUUUUUCCUCUUCUCAAAUGUGGACUGAUAUGAGCUUCAUGUUAACAACAGAGUAGCUGAUUUACUUAAUUAUCUGUUUCUGGUUUAAAAUUAUAUUUGUCUGUUUUAAUUUUUGUCAUAAUAAAUCAGUUGUUCAAACUUUAGGUCUUGUAUAGACUAUCAGAAGAACUUCAAUAUAUCUCAUUUGAACCAUGACUAACAAAAACAACAAACUACAGUAUAAGGAGGUGCCAGCAGGUUCCAUACAGAAAUCAAGAUAGUGGUGUACAGUCUUGUUGAGAAAAUUAUACUGUGUAGUAAUUAUAUGAUUUUGAAAGAGUAUGUAAGAAUAAAUUAACUGAUGGAUAAUA